rnacentral:rRNA from 1 species
AACGCUUUACACAUGCAAGUCGAACGGUAACGCGGUGAGAAGCUUGCUUCUCACCGGCGACGAGUGGCGAACGGGUGAGUAAUACAUCGGAACGUGUCCGCUCGUGGGGGACAACCAGCCGAAAGGUUGGCUAAUACCGCAUGAGUUCUACGGAAGAAAGAGGGGGGCCCGCAAGGGCCUCUCGCGAGCGGAGCGGCCGAUGACUGAUUAGCCGGUUGGUGAGGUAACGGCUCACCAAAGCAACGAUCAGUAGCUGGUCUGAGAGGACGACCAGCCACACUGGGACUGAGACACGGCCCAGACUCCUACGGGAGGCAGCAGUGGGGAAUUUUGGACAAUGGGCGCAAGCCUGAUCCAGCUAUUCCGCGUGUGGGAUGAAGGCCCUCGGGUUGUAAACCACUUUUGUAGAGAACGAAAAGACACCUUCGAAUAAAGGGUGUUGCUGACGGUACUCUAAGAAUAAGCACCGGCUAACUACGUGCCAGCAGCCGCGGUAAUACGUAGGGUGCGAGCGUUAAUCGGAAUUACUGGGCGUAAAGGGUGCGCAGGCGGUUGAGUAAGACAGAUGUGAAAUCCCCGAGCUUAACUCGGGAAUGGCAUAUGUGACUGCUCGACUAGAGUGUGUCAGAGGGAGGUGGAAUUCCACGUGUAGCAGUGAAAUGCGUAGAUAUGUGGAAGAACACCGAUGGCGAAGGCAGCCUCUUGGGACAUAACUGACGCUCAGGCACGAAAGCGUGGGGAGCAAACAGGAUUAGAUACCCUGGUAGUCCACGCCUUAAACGAUGUUAACUAGUUGUUGGGAAGUAAAAUUCUCAGUAACGCAGCCAACGUGAGAAGUUAACCGCCUGGGAAGUACGGUCGCAAGACUAAAACUCAAAGGAAUUGACGGGGACCUGCACAAGCGGUGGAUGAUGUGGAUUAAUUCGAUGCAACGCGAAAAACCUUACCUACCCUUGACAUGUCAGGAAGCUAUUGUAACGAGAGUGUGCCACGCAAGGGAACCUGAACACAGGUGCUGCAUGGCUGUCGUCAGUUAAUGUAGUGAGAUGUUGGGAUAACUCUCGCAAUGAGCGCAACCCUUGUCAUUAGUUGUUUCGAAAGGGCACUAUAGUGAGUCUGCCGGUGACAAACCGGAGGAAGGUGGGGAGGAUGUCAAGUAAUCAUGGCCACUAUGGUUAGGGAUUCACUCGUCAUACAAUGGUAGGAACAGAGGGCAG